CGUGUUUGGCACCGAGAAUAUUUUUUUCUGAGGCCAAAUGGAUUUUUUUUUCUUUUGCAAAAUGAGUAGAAAAAGAAAGCCAUACUUUUCCAAAAGCUGGUAUUGAAUUAUUGGCCCUUGUCAGUCGCUGUCACUAAGGGCCUCUGGUCAUGAGAACUUGUGAUACUGGGGGAAUGGGAGUCCUGGGGAUUCUGAUGUUAGCUUCAUCUCUUCACAGGGUAAGGACUGCAGCACACAGCACACAGCCCAGCAGUUGGCAGAUCCAUCAUCUUGAGUAUUAGAGGGAGCUGGAUGGAGAAGACAGCUAGGCUGGAUAUUUGUGACAGCUCCAUCAGACACUAGCUAUGUGACCUUGGGCAGAACCCUUAACGUCUCUGAGCCUUAGUCUGAUCAUAACAAUAAAACAUACAGUAAGUAGUCCCUGCAUCCCGGCAUUCAGCCGGUUGCCACAGGUAAGAAUGUCUAGAGAAUAAGACAGGAUGCUGUGAGUUUAGUACAGAAGGACAUUUGAGGACAUGGGAUUUCCCUAGUCAUUUUAGGGUCUCACCUGUGAUGCCAUAACAGAAUGCUUGAUUCUGGAUAAUUUACAAAUGAUAAACACACUGGUGAUUAAGUUUCAACACAUGCAUUUACAUGUCAGCUUCAGACCACUGGAAAUCUAGCUUAUUGUGUGACACAGCAAGGCAUGGAGUCCUUGUAGCCACAAGAUGCUCAGAAAGAGAGGCAAAGAGGAGAGUAGCCAUUCAGGGAACCUGGGGCCCAAAGUUCAGUAACAAAGCUUGGAAUGGUCACUGUGGCCAGAAAUGGAGAUGGCAGAGAGAAUUCUGGAGCUGGCAUUUAGUUGUUUUAGGGAGAAUGCAUCUGGGUUGGAAUACAGUGGUGCAAUUAAAUUCUUGAGGUGGCUUGGGCAGACAAUGAAUUUGUCUCUCAAGGAAGAGUUAGCUGUGCCUGGGGCCAUGGUGAUAAGUGACCUGGAACUGCUUUCUACCGUCCUUGACCUCCAGCCUAGCAUGAACACUGCAGCCGGAGGUCCCUGCUUGAUAGCAAUGGUUGAAUUUCAUGGAUGAACUUGGGUGCUGCUGGAGGCGUUCCUGAGGAGUGUGGAAGGAGGACUCCAGGAAGCUUUACUGAAGGAUAAGCAGGUCUGCAAAGCCACGAGGCUCCUAGCUACAGGGCUCUCACCAUGAUGAGGAUGGAGAGAACAGGUCAUAUCCUCACUUGUCUGGGGGCAGCUGUGCACACAACCUGAAGACGGCAACAUUACCUUGGGCUGCUUCACCUCCUGCUUUGGGUUCCGUGGUCUUGUGGAGCAGAGCUGUCUCUCAGGAUUCACAGCCUGGACAGACCAUGGUGCAAGGUCACAGAGGCCAGAGAAGGCAGAGGAUCUAUCUGGCUUUUUCUCAACUCACCCCUGGCCCAGAAAAGCUGAACCAACCCACCACAGCCAGGAGGAUGGGCUCCAUGCUGGGACCCUCACACUACACUUCAUCUGGAUGCAAGAGCACACAGCAGAGCGUCGGUGGAGAGCGAGGGUAUAGGCCCGACUCUGCCCUGCUCCUCCCGGGGUUUUGUGACAGUCUCUCCCUGAACCCGGGUCUCACCAAUUCAACAAGACAAACUGGCAGCAAGUCCUGGAUAUCGUCGGUCUCUGCCUCUCCCCUCCCCACUCCACCAGUGCUGGAUUGCUUGGGCAUGGUUGUCACACGGGUGCCGGAUCCAAACUCAAGUCUCCAUGCUUGUGUGGCCAUCACUUAACUCGCCGGCCAUCUCCCUGCCCUUACUGUUUCAACCCAUUCCUUCUGCCUUUCUUCUCCCCCUCUCCUCUCGUUAUCAUCCUCCUCUUCCUCCCUUCCCUCUUUUUGUUUUUGUUUUUUUUUUUUUUUUUGGUCCUCCUCUGUCUUUUUCUGUCCUGUCUUGCUCCUGACUGGAGUAUCUAAAGCAAACUUCAGACAUUGUAUCAUUCACCUAUAAAUACCUAUGUACUGAUACUAGUUACAAAAAAUUAAGUGACUAAAACUGUUGUCAUACUUUAAAAGUAAGCAGUAUAGUUUUUAACAUCAGCUAACAUCCCGCUUUUGCACCGUCUCAUUUAAUCUUCCAAAUAUUCUUGGGAAUCAUGGAUAUUGCUCCCGCCUUUUGAUGGCCGUAGGAGGAAGGGAGGCCUCAGGAAUCCAUAAGCAGUCCUCUAACAGCAGCUUGAACGACAGCCAUGUGACUCCUGCCGGCAAACCUUCCUCAUUUCUUUACACCGUGACCAAUGUUUAUUCUG